rnacentral:rRNA from 1 species
UACGUAGGUGACAAGCGUUGUCCGGAUUUACUGGGCGUAAAGAGCGCGCAGGCGGUCGUUCAAGUCGAGUGUGAAAGCCCCCGGCUCAACUGGGGAGGGUCAUUCGAUACUGAUCGACUCGAAGGCAGGAGAGGGUAGUGGAAUUCCCGGUGUAGUGGUGAAAUGCGUAGAUAUCGGGAGGAACACCAGUGGCGAAGGCGACUACCUGGCCUGUUCUUGACGCUGAAGCGCGAAAGCUAGGGGAGCAAACGGG